GGUGGUGGUCCUGAUUGGAAAGUUCCAUUGGGAAGAAGAGAUAGUUUAACAGCAAAUCGAACCCUUGCCAAUCAAAACCUUCCUGCUCCUUUCUUCAACCUCACUCAACUUAAAGCUGCCUUUGCUGUUCAAGGUCUUGACACUACUGAUCUAGUUGCACUCUCAGGUAAGAAAAUCUUCCCAAUUAAAUUCAUCCUAUAUAUGUUGCAAAAUUUAAAAAAUAACAAUGAUAAAUAGGAAAAUUCUUGAAAUUCAGGGUAAGGUAAGAUAUUGGAUUCAAAGGGAUAUAUUAUUAAUGAAACCAUUGACAUUACUCUAAAAAAGAGAGUCCGUGAUGGAUUAGUAUAUGAUUUUUACAUGAUUCUGAGAUAUAAAGUGAGUUGAAUGGUUAAGAGAAAAAAAAAAGUUUGAUACUUUCUAUUAACAAAAAUUAACAUUCUACCACACUAGGAUUAAAAAAAAUGAUUUAUGCAUGAUUGAAUUUCAGGUGCUCAUACAUUUGGCAGAGCUCACUGCUCUUUCAUUCUUGGGCGAUUGUACAAUUUCAGUGGCACAGGCAAACCUGAUCCAACUCUUGACACAACUUACUUGCAACAAUUGCGCCAAAUAUGCCCGAAUGGUGGACCCAACAACCUUGUGAAUUUUGACCCUGUCACUCCUGAUAAAAUUGACAGGGUCUACUUCUCCAAUCUUCAGGUCAAGAAGGGCUUGCUUCAGAGUGAUCAAGAGCUGUUCUCGACACCCGGUGCCGAUACCAUUCCCAUUGUCAAUAGGUUCAGCAGUGACCAAAAUGUCUUCUUUGAUGCCUUUGAGGCUUCAAUGAUUAAGAUGGGUAACAUUGGUGUGCUCACUGGGAACAAAGGAGAAAUCAGAAAACAUUGUAACUUUGUUAACAAGAAAUCUGUUGAACUUGAUAUUGCUACUGUGGCCUCCGAAGAAUCAUCAUCAGAGGAGGGUAUGGUUAGCUCAAUCUAAUUGGAUUAGGAUGAAUAGUUUACACUUUAAAAAUGGUGCGAUUAGAGACCAAUAAAGAAGCUUUAGGCAUAUUCAUGCCAUGUGCCCGCGCCACUACUUGUUGUGUACUGUGUUUGUGUUACACUUUCUUUAUUGUAUUUUGAAUCAUGUAGUGUUCAUAAGCAAUUCCUUUCCGUGCCUCUAGUUUUGAAAGAGAUCCUGAACCUAAAAUCUGUAUAUUGAUGGCAUAAUUAAAAAGGUAAGCUAUUGAAAAAGUAGCAGGCAAUAUUUUAAUUAUAAUGAACCAAUUAUUCAUUUAUGAUUAUUUGGUUCAGUGUUUCAUUAACUACAAAUUAUAUUUUUCCAUUAAUUGGGCUUAGAUUUAGAUCAGAUUGUCAUACAACUAAUAGUGAUACCAGCUUAAAAGAAAACUUCAUAGGUGGACCUACUGUUUCUUUUUCUUUAUACAAGAGAAAUGACAGAAACAUUUCAUUUGAAUUUUAGUAAAAAAUAAUAAUUAACUAUUAGUUCACAUUUAAUCCAAAAUAUUUCCUUGAUCUUUCACUUCAUAUGUGUAAAAAAGAAGAAUAAACUAUUGUCAAGUUUAAUUUACUAAUUAUAUACUUAAAAUUUUAUAAUUAUUGUAAUCAACAAUAAAUCUCAAUAUGUAAUUACAUUAAAUAUUCUGGAUAUUUUUUUUAUUAUUCAUAAUAAUCUUAUGAAGGAUGAAAUGAAAUUGACUUAAGUGAAAAAAUCGAUUUAUAUAUAACUAUAUAUAAACGGAAUAUGGUGUUUUGGUGUACGCACCCAUUUUAUUUUGAUAGCUACAUUUAUAACUUAUUAUUUUGAUAUCUUUUUUUAUUUUAAAAAAACAUGAAAAACAAUUAAGGCGCGGAUAUAUAAUAAUAUACCUGUCUCGACUUCCAGUAUUAAUUAUAUUGUAAUUAAAAAAAAUUUCUUAUAUUUUUUUCUUUCUAUUUUCCCUUUUUCUUUCACUUUUUUCAUUAUAUCUUCUGUCCGCUUUCUUUGUAUGGGAUCCAUGACUUUUUUUUUUCUUUUUCAGACUAACUUUAGCGAGUGUUUCAAACUAUUGAAACAUUCAGAAUAAAACCUAUAGUUUAGUAAUUUGAGAAAUGCAUUUUUUUUUUCCACAAAUAACCUUUCACAAUUCUUUGAUUUUUAAAAUUUAACUAUUCUAUGUGAAAUUUAUGUAAGGUAAUAAAAUAAAGAUAUAUUCACCCUUAAUUUAAAAUGAAUUAAUUUUUAUAUAUUUUAAUUUAAAUAAAAAUGAAAUACAACCUCGUUUUCAUUUCAUAUAUCUUUUGGUUUAUAAGAGCUAAGGUCUUUUAUUUUAUGUACCAAAAAAGUCCUUUUGAUAAUAUUAUCAUAAGUAAUUUUAUUACAACAAUUUAUCGGUUUGAGUGAAACUGAGUUAGAGCUUGCAAAGCACCACUUACUUGAAUUAAAGUAUAGAACACUAGUUUUUGGUUAAUUGUUGAUAUUACUACUUGAUAGUAACAUACUUCCACAGCCCACCAUGCCAUUUAAAGUAUAAUUAAUGACGUAAAUGCCAAUGAAAAAUUUAUAUUAUAUAAACAAAUCCUGGUCGUGCCGCCCACGUGUCAUUUCAGCAGGACCACUUGAACCUUUUUUUUUUAAAGGCACUUGGAUUUUUAAUACUAACAUAUGAACAUAAAUUUCAAAUGGUGGCAAUCAGCAAUUUUGGGCUUUGCUUUUACGGGUUCCACACAUGACACUAGGCACUAGCUAUAUAUGCACUGCAACGAUUAUUAAGAAUCUGUUUGGUUUGUUGUUCGCAAGUCUUAAACGUCCUUUCAAACAAAUUGUUACUUCUCAUUUUUUUAUUAGAAAAUAGAAACUUCCCUUUUCAAUGAUGUAAACGUUCCCAAACACAAUCUAACUAGGUAAUAUUUUAAGGAAAAAUAUGUUAUAUAAACACAUUUUUCAACAUUUAUUCUUUCAUUUUAUUAGAUGGAAUUUAUGUGAUUCCUAUUAAAUGUAUAUGAGUUAUAUUUUUAUUUUUAAAUUAUAAUGUAAUUUUUUUUCUUAUUAAUGCAUGCCUUGCACGGUACACAAGCUAACGCUAGUAAGUUGAAUAUGCAACAAUUAAUAAGGAAAAACAAUUUUUAGAUGGUUGUUGGCUUGUUGCUCUAUUGUCUUUUGAACAUGUUUCAAAUUUCUUUGUUGAAGUUAUAUGUUAUUCAUAAUAUUUUUAUGUUAUCCAAUUCAUUAUUGAAUUGGAGGAGGCAAUAUGGUUCACGGGUCAAUGGCCAAAUCUUGAUCUAAUCUUGGUUGAAUUGGUACGUAUAUAUGUGUUUAAAAUAUAUAUAAAAAUUCACACUUGAUUAUUAUAUAUUUGGUACAUAUCAAGUUGUAACUUUUAUUAUUUUGAUAAAUAAAAAAUAAAUAUGACGGUAUAUUUAUUUAAAUAAUAAAAAAUUAUAUUUUAAAGUGGUUAUGUCACAAUUGUUUUUAGUGAUGAUGUAAUAUAAUUUAUUUAUUUAUUUUGACUACACAUAUUAUUAUAUAAUUUAGAUUUAUAAUUUUUACAUUUUUAAAAUAAGAAUUAUAUAUAUAUAUAUAUCAAAAUUAUUUGUAAUUAGUUAAUAAUACAAAAAUGUUAAUAUAUAUCAAAAUUAAAAUCUAGUACUACUGCAAGCUCCUUUUAAUAUUUAUGAUAAGUAAUCUUUGAAACGAAAAAGAAAAUGAACUUUAAAGAAACUGUUUGUUAUUUUCAACUCUAAUUGGCAAAUUCAAAAAUAAAACUUCAAAUCAGAUUGGGCACGUAGGUACACUUGGGUCAGUAAUAGACAAUGGAGUAGGAUAUUAGCAACCGAGAACUAAAAGUCUAUAGGUUUAGAUUGGAUCCUAACGGAAAGUUUGAAACAAUGUGAUAAAUUAUUAUAGUGGGUUAUGUCACAUAUGGUUCUAGAUAUUCUUCCCCAUGUUUGAUGCAUGUGUCUGCCUCAAGCACAUUAAUUUUUACCACACCAACUCCAUCUUCUUUCUUUGUGCAAUAAGUUCAGCAACAAGCUGGCCAGACAAACAAGACCUGACAAAAGUAGCUUUUAUUUCUUCCCCGAAGAUCUCGAGGCUCAGAUUCUUUUCGUAUGACAUACUCAUAAGUAAUGUCUGACAUGACCAAAAAAAAAUGUAAUGUCAAAUGUAAUGUCUGAGACAUAUAUAUAUAUAUAUAUAUAUAUAUAUAUAUAUCAUUCACAAAAUUUUAUCAUUUUUAUAAAAAAAUUAAGAAAUUAAAAGAGUUUGUCACAAAAUGUUUUUAUCAUUUCUCUUAUUUUGUGUAAUUAUGUUCAUGAUUAAAUAUUAAAUAUAAAAACAUAUUUUAGCGGAGAUUCAAAUUUCAAAACCUUGAUUUAUUAUAUUAUAUUGUGAUUUUCAACUCCGGUUGGUAUAUACGUGUACAUUAUGUUUGAUUUUGUUAUAGAAAAAACAUUAUGUGUUGAUUUACGAGCCCUUCACACAAUCACUUGUAACUACAGCAUACUACCUCCGUUGUCAUUAAUGUACAAUUUUUUAUUUUUAUUUUUAUGGAAGAGCCCUUCUCCAUUAAUGUGUAAUAAUAAAACUUAGUGUAAGUCAAUGGCUCACAUUCAAUAGAAAUUAUUGGAAGAGUUUGAAGGAGGUGCAAGCUUCCUAAUUGGUCUCGUCAUUUAUGUCUUACACGUUAUUAGCUGUAUUCAUUGUUAUUUUUUCAUGUACUUCUGAUACAUAGACGUAUUAGUUGUUGUUGCCUUGCACGGUAAAUAAAAUCUUAAAUUAAUAAUAAUUGAAAAUAAAUGUUAGAAGUUAUUUUUUGAAUAAGAUCAAAUACAAUUAUUAUAUCUAUUUUAGGUUUUAUUCAUGAAAGUUAUAGGUUUGAUUUUCAUGUUUUCAGUAUACCAUUUUUUUAUAUUAUUUUUUUGUCAAUAAAAAUUAGUUAUUAAUAAUUUAUUAAUUUUUGUUCGUAAGAAGAAUUUAAACCUCCAAUCUGUUCCUCCUCUCUUUAAUAACUAAGUCAACUUUCUAAUCCUACAUUUUUAAAAAUUUAAUUAACUAAAAAUUAUUAAGGAUAUAUUUUUAAAUUAAUUAUUAUAAGAAUUAACAAUUUUAUCAUAUAUAACAAUUUAUAAUUGGAUGAGAAUACAAAUUUUUUGUACUAUUGAUAUAUUAAAAUUAAAUUCAAAUAUUAUAAUGUAAAAUAUAUGUUAAAAAUAAAUAUUAAACAUAACGCAAAUACAAUAUAACUUUUUAAAUAUUUAUGCGAUAUAUUAAUUUUUAAUUUUGUUUAUAUACUUCACGGCAUUUUAAUUAAAUAAAAGGUUCUAAAAAUGUGUCCCUAUAACCUCAAGCCAUCUUGAUUUUGCCUGCUUUUAAUACAUUUGUCUUGUUUUGUAAAAUAAAAUAAAAUUGUCUUCUUGCUCAAACUUUUUUUUUUAUGCGUUUCUUGCUCAUAAACUGAACAAAUUAAAUUAAACUGGCAUAAGAAGAUAUAAAUGCUAAUAAAACAAACUAGAGAUCCCUGAACUCCAGCUAUCCAAGAUUCAUGUGUGUCAGGUUUAUAAUUAGCAAACCCCGGUUUGACUUAAUAAUUAACAAAUAUUUUUUUAUGCUUUUAUUUAAAUUAUGGUUUGAAAUCAUGAUUUUGUUAUAGUUGACCAAAUGCCCACCUCUAAUUAUACCCAAGACUUGUCAAUGUCAUUCUAAAGAUAUUAUAAAAACGAAAAAUUUAAAUAGAUAAUUAUUUUUGGAAAAUAAUAAUUAUAAAUUCAUAUAAGUUAUCAUUGAAUUAUGUUUCUUUUAUGAGAAUUCCCCCCGCUAUCUAUCUUCAAUCAAUUAUCACCUUUGUACCUUUGAGUUUAUAAAAAAAUGAAUAACUUUGCCAAGCUUAAAUUCGAUGCCUAUAAUUUAGAUGGGCUGAUAUAAUUUGUGACACAUCCUAUUUAAUUUUAAAAUGAUAUAAUUUCGACUUUUCCUAAAACUGUUAUAUACUAAAUAUUAUUAAGUGUAGCAUGUUGUGAAAAACAGAAAAUAAUAUAUAUAUUAAUUGAUAGUGUGAAAAGUUUUUACACUAUCUAUUGAUAAGAAAUUUUUAUGUAUGGUCAUUUUAUUGAGUUUUAUAAUAAUUAAAUUAAAAAAUAUCUCAAACAUAAUUUGUGAUUGAUUAAACAUGUAAAAGUUUUUCAUUCUCAAUACAAAUUUUUAAAUUCUGUGAAAAAUGGUCGUAUUUUUUAAAGAAACAGAUAAAAUUGAAAUUUUAGAGAAAAAAAAGGACAACAAUGACAGACUUUCACAUGAAGUCUUCAUUAUUUAAGGGAUUUAAAAGCACUUUUACAUAUCGAAUAGAAUUUUCUUUGAAUAAAAAGUGUUUAUAGGAGAAAAAUAAAAAAAAAUAAUUUAUUUUUUUAAUCCAUCUAAUUUCUCUAAAAUUUGAACUAUGUAAAUUAUUUUUUGCUUCAUAAACACUUAUAUGAUAAAAAAAAUAAGAAAAUAAAAUUAAUUGAAUCUCCUGUAUAAGCUAAAAUCAAUUUAUGUAAUUAAAUUUUAUAUAAAUAUUUUACAUUUAACUUCUGUAGAAGGUAGGAUAUAUAAGUUAAUUUUANNNNNNNNNNNNNNNNNNNNNNNNNNNNNNNNNNNNNNNNNNNNNNNNNNNNNNNNNNNNNNNNNNNNNNNNNNNNNNNNNNNNNNNNNNNNNNNNNNNNNNNNNNNNNNNNNNNNNNNNNNNNNNNNNNNNNNNNNNNNNNNNNNNNNNNNNNNNNNNNNNNNNNNNNNNNNNNNNNNNNNNNNNNNNNNNNNNNNNNNNNNNNNNNNNNNNNNNNNNNNNNNNNNNNNNNNNNNNNNNNNNNNNNNNNNNNNNNNNNNNNNNNNNNNNNNNNNNNNNNNNNNNNNNNNNNNNNNNNNNNNNNNNNNNNNNNNNNNNNNNNNNNNNNNNNNNNNNNNNNNNNNNNNNNNNNNNNNNNNNNNNNNNNNNNNNNNNNNNNNNNNNNNNNNNNNNNNNNNNNNNNNNNNNNNNNNNNNNNNNNNNNNNNNNNNNNNNNNNNNNNNNNNNNNNNNNNNNNNNNNNNNNNNNNNNNNNNNNNNNNNNNNNNNNNNNNNNNNNNNNNNNNNNNNNNNNNNNNNNNNNNNNNNNNNNNNNNNNNNNNNNNNNNNNNNNNNNNNNNNNNNNNNNNNNNNNNNNNNNNNNNNNNNNNNNNNNNNNNNNNNNNNNNNNNNNNNNNNNNNNNNNNNNNNNNNNNNNNNNNNNNNNNNNNNNNNNNNNNNNNNNNNNNNNNNNNNNNNNNNNNNNNNNNNNNNNNNNNNNNNNNNNNNNNNNNNNNNNNNNNNNNNNNNNNNNNNNNNNNNNNNNNNNNNNNNNNNNNNNNNNNNNNNNNNNNNNNNNNNNNNNNNNNNNNNNNNNNNNNNNNNNNNNNNNNNNNNNNNNNNNNNNNNNNNNNNNNNNNNNNNNNNNNNNNNNNNNNNAAAUGACAAAAAUAAUAUUUUGGUAUCAUCACAUAGCACAAAUUUAUAUUUUCUUUCUUUUAACCUAUAAAAUAAUUCUAAAUUAUCAAUGUUAACCUCAAUAAAAAUUAAAAUAAUUUAUAAUACUAGUAUAAUAAUUUUACAAAUAAAAAUAUUAAAUAAUUUUAUGCUUCUAAAACAUUAUGUACACAUUUUUUUUUACUUAAUAUUUUUUUAUAACGUAUUAAGAAAAUGAAUACAAGUAUAUUAUCCUAUUGGUUUGUCUUUAAUUCAGAAUCCUCAUUAUCUCAAAAAAAAUUUAAAAAUCAGAAUCAUCAUUGACAAAGUUGUUUGGAGGAUUUAUAGCAUGCUUGCCCACAAAAUUUGAUGGUGAUAAUUGUCAUUUGUACUUAAAUUUAUGGAACAUAAUUAAGCAAUUAUGUUGUCUUUUCUAUGGUUUAGACCUUUUGGUUGUCAUUUUUCAGUCACUUAAAAUAUGUACUUCUUCCAAGUUUUUAAGGACGAUAUAUAAAAAACGAAACUCAUUGUAAAGUCAAGUUUUUAUAUACAAGGCUUAAAAUGCUCAACAACUUUUUAUUUUUUAAGAAAAUGCUCAACAACUGAUGUAAUUUCGAGAAGUUGUAUUUUUUUUAACUAUCCUAAUUAGGGUUUUUGCCUUUCCGGUGGAACACGAGGUAUUGUCACAAAUUUCGGUCAUUUGAGUCGGAUAUGAGAGGAAUCCUUGGUCUGAAACUUAGAAACACUUAAAGCUCAUCAUCCCAACUUAAGAAUGUAUUCUAUGGGAUCAAACCAAGAUCUUUUCCACGAACUGAAUGUGUGUUGUCAAUUAAACUAUAUUCAUUAAAUUUAAAAAACUAUUUAUAAAAAUGAAACUCGUUGUAAAGUCAAGUUUCUAAAACAUAUACAGAGGCUUUUAUUUUACUGCAAUAUACAAAGACUUAAAAUGCUCAACAACUGAUGUAAUUUCGAGAAGCAAUUUGAAAGUAUAGUCAAAAUUUAAUCUUUCACAUGCACAUGAAAUCCCUUCCAGAUCUUUCGGACCACUUUACACGUUUUCCUAUCAAGUGGCAUGAUUGAAAAUUAUUUGAAUCACUGAAGUACGAAAUGCAGGAUCGACAUUGCAUUCAUUCAGAGAGGCCAUGUGUCUCUAUAAAUAGAUGCUUCUCAUCAACAGGUUCAGCACACUACUAUUAAGAACAAAUUACAAAUAGGAAAAAAAUGAAAGUAACAGUUGUGUGUUGUGUAUUGGUUGUGCUUGGUGCACUACCAUUCUCUUCGGAUGCACAACUAGACCCCUCCUUUUAUAGGGACACAUGUCCCAAAGUGCAUUCUAUUGUACGUGAAGUUGUUAGAAACGUUUCAAAAUCAGACCCUCGAAUGCUUGCUAGUCUCAUAAGGCUCCACUUUCAUGACUGCUUUGUUCAAGUAUGUUUCAUGUUUGUUCAUCACUUUUCCUAAGUUUGGUGUCAUUGUCAACUCCAUUUUGUUACACUUACACAUUCAUCAGUUUUCACUUUAAGCUAAUUGAGUCCUUCCUACUUAAUUUCAAAAGUACAACUCAUUUUCAAUCCGAACAACAUUGAAAAUAUUUUACAAAUUCUUCUGCCAUCAAUGUACUAUUUAGUCUUAUGUUUAUGUCAUAUGUGUUAAUAAGUAAUAAGUUUAUUAAGAUGUUUCUCAUGUUUGUGGCAUGCAGGGCUGUGAUGCAUCAAUUUUGUUGAACAACACAGCCACAAUAGAAAGUGAGCAACAAGCUUUCCCAAACAACAACUCAAUAAGAGGUUUGGAUGUUGUGAACCAGAUCAAGACUGCGGUGGAAAAUGCUUGUCCUGGUGUAGUUUCUUGUGCUGAUAUUCUUGCCCUUGCAGCUGAGAUAUCUUCUGUUCUGGUAUGUCUCACUCCUAUUUUUAAAUAAAUUUCUUCUAACAUUAUUGGAUGCCAUUACUUUCCACUUUAUAAGUUGAGACCAUCUCCAUGUUUAGUGUGUUGUCUAAAUGUGCAUAUUAUCUAAAUUGUAAUCCUUAAUUAUGCCUAAUAUUUUAACUUUUCUUUCUUUUAGUUUCUAGAAUGUGUCAAUUUUAAUUGUUAACUGACAUACGAAAGGAGGUUUUGCUUCUUAAAAUCACUUUUCUCUGAUUUCAUUAGCAAUCUUUUCUAAGAUUACUUCAUAUACUUUAAGACCAAUUUUAUGGUCUCCCAUAAACCCUCGCUCAUAAAUUAAGUGACUAUUUAAGAAGACAGAGAAAAUGAAAGUGAGUUGAUGAAUUAGUUAAAACAAAUUAUUAGUAAGGAAUGUCUACUCGCAGCCAACUUUGAAAAAUAAAUACUAUAACAUUCUUAAUAUAUUGUGUUAAAUCAAAGUCCAAGUUAACAGGUAUGACUUUUGCUUUUACUUUAUUAUCCCUUCUAAAAUUUACAACCAUGCACAGGGUCAUGGUCCUGAUUGGAAAGUUCCAUUGGGUAGAAGGGACAGUUUAACAGCAAACAGAACACUUGCAAAUCAAAAUCUUCCAGCUCCAUUCUUCAACCUUACUCAACUUAAAGAUGCCUUUGCUGUUCAAGGUCUCAAUACUACUGAUCUAGUUGCACUCUCAGGUACAUAUGAACCUUUUCACACUUCAGAAAAUUCAUCUCUAUAAUUAUAAAAAAAAUGGCAGCACAUUUUGAGUCUUCAUUUUUCAGGUGCCCAUACAAUUGGUAGAGCUCAGUGCAGAUUUUUCGUCGACCGAUUAUACAAUUUCAGCAGCACUGGCAAUCCUGAUCCAACUCUUAACACAACUUACUUGCAAACACUCAGUGCAAUAUGCCCCAAUGGUGGACCUGGCACUAACCUCACCAAUUUUGACCCAACCACACCUGACACAGUGGACAGUAACUACUACUCCAAUCUUCAGGUUAACAAGGGCUUGCUUCAGAGUGACCAAGAGCUGUUUUCCACAACCGGUGCUGAUACCAUUGCCAUUGUCAAUAGCUUCAGCAGUAACCAAACUCUUUUCUUUGAGAACUUCAAGGCUUCAAUGAUAAAAAUGGGUAACAUUGGAGUGCUAACGGGAUCUCAAGGAGAAAUCAGACAACAAUGUAAUUUUAUUAAUGGGAAUUCUGCUGGAUUGGCUACUCUUGCCACCAAAGAAUCAUCAGAUGGCAUGGUUAGCUCAAUCUAAAUAAAUUAACAAAAACUUAAGUUAGUGUAUGCUUCAAAAUGCCGACAUUAAAAGGUACCUAAUAAAGAGUUCAAUAGGCACAUACGUGGCUUGUGCCUGUGGUGGACCAUGAUAUAUAUGUCUGUACUUUUGUGCAUUGCGUCACCUAUGCUCUAUCACUGUAUUUGUAUGAUCUGGUUACUAUAUAUAUUAUGAGAAUUCUAAGUCAUAUCAUGCAGAUAAACAUGUGAAAAGAUAGCAUAGUAGAGGCUGGGGUAUUUGUAGAUGAACUACUGAAUCUUGUUACCGAGUAUUAUUAUCUAUGCUACUUUUAAUCUUCUACCUGUAUUAAUGAAGUUGGAUUAAAAUUAUUGUUUUAACAACAAAUGAAUGUAAAGUUACAAUAGUAUGUUGAUAUGCACCGUAGUAUAGUAGCAAAUCUGAAAAAGUUUGUGCACACAAUUUGCUUGUACGCUCGUGGUUCCAACACAAACACAUGUUGAACAUUUUGCCAGUAGUAACCAAAGUUUGGAUUCAAGCAUGCAAUGGAGUGAGGACAAAGAAUAAGGAUGGUGCAAUUUAACUAGAUAAAGUCGCGUAUGAUCAGUGAAAAGUGAAGAAAACUUCACAAUCUAAGAGAAGAGACACAAUUCAAGAGAGUUACCUAAACUCUUUAUAAAAAAAGUUUUAAUUCAACACAAAAAUUAUUUAAAAUUGUUUCAACUCAAAAUUAAUUCUGAAUUUGUAUAAAAUAAUUUUUUUAACACAGAACCAACCGAGUGAACAUUAACAUAAAAUUAGAUUAGGUGAUUUUUUCAACUUAAUUUUGAAACAUGAAACCAAACAUGAAAUCCUCGAGAUCUUUCUGCUCAAUUUUACAUUCUUCCUUUAUGUGGCAUGAUUGAAAAUUAUUUGAAAUACCGAAGCACGACAUGCAGAGAGGUCAUGUGUCUCUAUAAAUAGAUGUUCCUCAUCUGGGGGAUCUCAGAAGCCCAAUUACAGGUUCAAUAUACUUAGAACAACUUGAAAAAGGAGUCUCUUUUGUGAGCCAGUAAUAGCUGGGUUGUGCAUUGGUUGUGGUAGGAGCACCACCAUUCUCUUCAUAUGCACAACUAGACCCCUCAUUUUACAAGGAAACGUGUCCCAGAGUGCAUCCUAUUGUACACCAGGUAAUUAGAAAUGUCUCUAAUUCAGACCCCUGUAUGCGUGCUAGUCUCCUAAGUCUACACCAGCAUGACUGCUUCGUUCAGGUAUGUUAAUUUGUUCCAUCGCUUUUUAAUUCCAUCAAGUUUUUUGUGUCAUUAAUUAUCAACUCCUUUUCUAAUUUUUACAUAUAAAACUCAUCUUCCAUCAAGCCAAAGAUUGAAAAUGCUUUUUGGUGUGUGUUGUAAAAGUUAAAUAAAAGCUACUGUUGGAGUACAAGUGAUUUCCCAACAGCUACAAAGGCCAAAAUGUAAGACUUGGAGGAAUAUGGGAGCCUUUAAUUUGUAAAUGAUGCUAGUUAGUUCAUAAGCAUUUCAAGCUAAAAAAUAUUGCGAUUAUAAUUAAGCAUUAAAAUGUAGUAUAGAAUUUCAUACAAUUUUGUUGGUUAGAGAUGCCUAAAUAGGGAAUAUUCUUCACUCCCUAUGCUUUGCUCGGACAUACUGGAAUACUCUGUUCAUUCCUGAAAAAAUUAUCUGGAUCAACCUUGGUCUUAACCUUGACGAGCCUCUGAAAAUUGUUAUUGAAGUAUUUGGCCCCAUAAACCUCUCCUUCUUGAAAGCUAUUCUUACCAAAGCGGUUAACUCCAAUAUCAAGGUCCCUAUAAUUCAAAAAGGCACUUCUGGGAUUCUUUGACACAAAAGGGGUCAUGUAAUUGUACAGCUUCUUAGCCUGAUUCGUAAAAUUCUUAGCCGCACCAACCGAAGGAUCAAACCAGUUCACAGAGUACUGAAUCUUGAACAGGUUCCCCUUACGGUGAGGGAACGGCGUGGCAUCGGAAGGAAUCUCAGCCAUUCUCCCUCCAUAAGGGUUGAAAACAAGUCCUAUUUUCCCCAACUUAAUCAUCCUCUUAAAUAUACACUCCAACCCUUCUCUUGGAAUAGCUUUCUGAACGUAAUCAGAUUUUCUUUUAAGAAAAAAAGCAGUGUUUACAUGGCGAUCCAAUAGGGUUUCAGGUUUGGCGCCAUUUUUUAGACUCUUAUCAUCGUAAAACCACAGAACAGAAUCAAUCCAUCUCAUCUCAGUGCAACUCUCCUUCUUUAACCCUAGAAGCGGAAACUCCUUCUCCAGAAUCGACACAAGCUCCUUAGCCCCUCCGAGGAACAAAGCCACUACUGAGGCUGUAACGGUUUUCCCUUCCGGCUGCAAUAGUAGCCUCAAGAAAAGCCCGGGAUCAGUAGUUGGCGCCACCUGCUGCCACUGCAACACAAGGUCAGUGGCAUUCUGUUCCAAAGUCCUCUCAACGCGAAAAACGGUAACCGUUUUAGGCACAGGAAGAAGCUUAAUAGUAAACGACACUAUGACACCAAAACUGGCUCCUCCACCUCCUCUAAUAGCCCAGAAGAGAUCUUCCCCCAUUGUUUUUCUGUUUAGAAGAUUUCCUUUCACAUCAACAAUUUGCGCGUCGAUGACAUUAUCAACAGAUAAACCAUAUUUUCUCAACAUGUUACCGUACCCUCCUCCACUGAUAUGGCCACCGACGCCAACAGUGGGACACACCGCCGCGGAGAAUCCAUGAACUUUACUUUUUUUCCAGAUUCUGUAAUAAACUUCUCCCAUCACUGCACCAGCUUGAACCACUGCAACCUCGUUUUUUAUGUCUACCUUGAUUUUGCGAAGGUUGAACAUGUCGAGGACGAUAAAAGGAUGUUUCUUUGAGAUGUACGAGAUACCCUCGUAGUCAUGGCCUCCGCUUCUGAUUUUGAGUUGAACGUUGACGGUUUUGGCACAUAUUACAGCGGCCUGGACGUGCGAUUCUGUGAGGGGAGUGACGAUGAGUAAGGGCUUUGGCGUGGAGGAGGUGUUGAAACGCGCGUUUCGGAUGUAGUUUUGGAGCACGGUGGGGAAUUUGGGGUUGGUAUUGGCGAAGACAAUGUCGGAGAGUUGGGUUGAGCAGUUUUUUGUGUGGUGUGUGAGGCACUGAAGGAAAGUGUGGUGGAGUGAGGAAUGUGCAGACACUAAAGUGGAGACAGUUAGAAGAAGAAAAGUGGCAGAAAGAUAGGCCAAAGAGUUAGGUUUCACCAUUGUUGAUGACUUGCAUGGUAGAGACGAGGGUGAGUACGGUUUAAUUUGUACACAAGGGUUUGUGCUAAUUAACUGCUAAGCUAAUUAAGGGUUUCUGUUUCUGAACGAUAUUUAUGUUGUGCAUCAGUUAUCUUAAUUGACUUAUUAAUUGGCUUAAAUACUUUUUUUCCUCAAAUUUAAGUAACCUUUAUCUUUUAUCUUCCAAAUUUAAAUUCAUUUCUUUAGCCUUCGUAAAUAGGAAAAUACUGUUUUUGGUCGCCUCUAUGUAAAUGUUGUUAGAAGUGAUGCUGUUAGGAGCGGAAGUGAUUCUGUCUUAUUCAUUCAUUUACAUUGUUUUUAUACACAACUGGACAUGUACAACUGAAUGAUAACUGUUACAACUGAAUGGUAAUUAUAUUAACAGAAUUAUAACUAUUUCUGAUAAAUUGUUGUAAUUGUUCUUAUGAUAACUGUUCUUACAACUGAAUGACAAAGCUUUGUCGUGACUACACGAAGUCCUUCAAGUGGCUAGGCCGUUUGCUGAUCCUCUUGACACACUGCUUUGUGGCAAUAAAAAAUUUGGUUUUAUAUUUGAUUUUUAAACCUAAUUUCUGGUAGUUUUAAACUUGUGAGUGCAUAUUCCAUCCUACAAUCAUUUAUUCAAAAAUUGAAAUCUCUGAACCCAAAAUCAAUCUCUAAAUAAAGACCAUAAGAAGUGCGGUGGUAUUCCCAGCACGCUCAAUGACAGUUGUUCUAAAACCGUUGUCAUUGAAUGUGUGAUGAUAUUUUUAUAAAUAUCAUUAACAUUUCAAAGACAAUUUUAAAGAAAAUUUUCGUAAAAUCAUCUUUAAAUUAUUUUUUUUUAAAAAUUAAACAUGGUCCUCUCGUUUGCUCUCUCCUAUUCCCAAUAAACCAAAACUUUCUCACUCCACUCAGGUCACUCUUUCAAUUUCUCGUUCCUUCAUUUUCAUUUGUCGUCAUUCUUCUUUGUAGUUGUGAGCGGUACUAAUCUCAAACCUCUAUCACAUGAUGACAUUACUAUCAAUCCUAUAAAGCAUUUAACUUACAAUUUUAAAUAAAAAAUUAAAUAUGAAUAAAAAUUAGUAAGAUAAUUUUAUAAAAUAAUAUAAUUGUACUAUGUUAUAUAAUUUAUAAAUUUAUUAAAAGUAUAUAAAUUUUAAAAUAUAAUUACAAAGACAUAAUAUACAAAAUUAAAUAUAAUUUUUUAACAAAUAAAUUUUUUUCUUAUGAACAAUCAAAAUUACAUUAAAUAUAUUUAUUUAAAAAUUAUUUUAUUAUGCAUUUUUAAAAAUUAUUUUAUUAUUUUAUCGAUGUUUAUAUAUGUAGUGUGUAUAAUGGGUGAUACUUAUAUUAAUAAUAUUAUGAAAUAAUUAAAUUUAAUAUUAAAAUGGUGCAAUUUUGAUGCAUAUGUAUUAUUAAGAAUAUAAUUAAAAAAGGAAAAAAAAAAACGGACACUUGAUUUUUUUUUCCUAAUGUUACAUGUAACAUGUACAUCAUUUCUAAAAACUGUAACAUGAACAUACUUUUAAUGUUUUAAGUUUGGUAAUUAAUUGUAUAAGCUUUAACAUUUUAUUUAUAGUAUAAUCAAUUAUAUAACUUACUCUAUUUAUUAUUUUUAUCACCUUAUUGCUUAGGGUAGUUAAAAAAGUGGUCUUCUUCCUCAUGUAGCAACUAUUGCAUGGUCUCCAUGAUUUGCUGCAACGUUGAUGCAUGGGCCUGUCUCUGGAGUCGUCGGUGUCGAGUUGCAUGUAGUCUAGCCUAUCUGGCAUCAUCAUCUUAGGUGACAAAUAGCAAUUUACUGGUUCCACACCCCACGUUGGACGCUAAUAUGCUUCGGAAAAUUUAUCUAUCCAAAACAUAAAAGUGCAUCUGCCUGGCUUUGUAAUCUAACAUGAAUUAUAUAGGUGUUUCUUAAUUAUGGUAAAGCCUGAUCAUAUGCUUGUCUCACUGAUUCUUUAGGAUAUGAUGAGAUCAUAUAAGAUAUGACGAGAUAAUUUGGAGAUAUAAGAUCAAGAUAUUAACGUUAUCAUGAGCAUGAUCUACGCUUCGGUUCAGGUCGGUCUGAUAUGGUGAGAGCUACUUUUGGUAUUCAAAAUAGCUCUAGGGUAACAGGCUAUGCCUUGAAACUCCUUGUAUGUCCAUUACCAUGCAUGAUUUUCACACGCCUGUUUGUGAUGUGCGCUAGGAAGAUAGAUGGACCUUAGAAUUAUAACAUAUCUACUCUCCCCUUCUUGAAGACAUCUGCUGUUGAAUCCUAGGGUGCUGGGUUGGUGUGAGCAGGAUAGGAAGUUUGAUUCCUUUUAUGAGACAAGUUUUUAUUUUAGCCAACUCUUCAUUUCAACAAUUAUAUAUAUAUAUAUAAAUAAGUAUUUUGAUUAAUAUUAUCAAAAUAAAAUUUUAUUUCAUCAAACAUUAUUUAUACUUUUUAGCAAAAGAAAUAUCCAAACAUAAAUUACUUUAUAUAAACUCAUUUUCAUUAAACUUAAUUUCCAACAUAUUCAAAAGUAGUAGGACCAUAACAUGCACAAACUAUAAGCAAUAUUCUUCACACUGUAUGAUUCCCUAUGCUUUGCCAGGAAGUACAGGAGGGACACUCUUCUGAUUUCGGAUGCCACAAUACCUAUAUCAAGUUCAGCAGAUUUCUUGUUAACAAAAUUACAUUGUUUUCUGAUUUCUCCUUUCUUCCCAGUUAGCACACCAAUAUUACCCAUUUUAAUCAUUGAAGUUUAAGGAAAGCUAUUUGGUCACCACUGAACUUGUUGACAAUGGGGAUGGUAUCAGCACCGGGUGUUGAGAACAGCUCUUGAUCACUCUGAAGCAAGCCCUUCUUAACCUUAACAUUGGAGUAGUAAUUCUUGUCCAAUUUAAAAGGAGUGGUUGGGUCAAAAUUGACAAGGUUGUUAGGUCCACCUUGGGAGCAUAUUUGGCGCAGUUGUUGUAAGUUGUAUCAAGAGUUGGAUCGGGCCUGCCAGUACCACUGAAAUUGUACAAUCGGUCAAGAAUGAACAAGCAGUGAGCUGAUCUGCCAAAUGAAUGAGCACCUGAAAUUAAAUCGUUUACAAAUCAUAUACUAAUUCAUCAUUUUUAUAAGAUAAAUUCUUCCAAAGUCAAACCAAGUUAAGAUGGUGAGUUUAGAGUAACUUUAAUGUUUUUCAUUUAUUAUUAUUAUUAGUAUUAUUAUAUUUAUUCAUUGAAUUUUGACUAAUGAUUAAUUUCGAAGUCAAUGAACAAUAACAUCUUUCUUUCAAUCAUAUUUUUUACACAAGAAUUGAAUUUAAGAUCUUAUUUAUCAAAGGAUUCAAGUUUAAUUUUACUUGACCACAUAUAUUUUAUUAUAGGUAGCAUUGUUACAACACAUAGGAUAAAUUUGAAUUGGGGAACAUUUGUUAGCUGACAGUGCAACAAGAUCAGUAGUGUCAAGACCUUGAACAGCAAAGGCAGCUUUAAGUUGAGUGAGGUUGAAGAAAGGAGCAGGAAGGUUUUCAUUGGCAAGGGUUCGGUUUGCUGUUAAACUAUCCCUCCUUCCCAAGGGAAAUUUUAAAAAAGGACCAUGAGCCUGUCAAAUGAUACAUGAAUUUUCUUUCUAAUAAAUAAAAACCUCUAUUAAAUAUAUGUUGCAACGAAUAAACAUCUAUUUGUUAUUAUUUGAUUCGACAACUUGAUAAAAAACGAUUUAACAAAAGAACUUGAUCUAAGUUUUUUUUUUAAUUUUUUUGAGAGAGGAAGUAGAAAGAGUUUUUCAAAAAGCCAAACCCUUAUUUUUUUAGUGUUCCAUAGAAUUUAUCUAAUUAAUAUAUAUGCACCAACUUAUCUAAUUACAAAUUGUCAUUAUAGUAAAUUUGUUAAUUUUAUAUAUAAAACAAUCUAAAAGUCAUAUAUAGAAUAAUUUGUUAUUAUUUAAUAAUCUAUCAUCUUUAUAUUGAUGAUACAUAAAAAUUAAACUUAAAUAUAUAAUUUGGCAAAUGUUUUAUGGAAAUAGAGUACCUAAUUAACUAUAAGUGAUCAAAAUAAUGAGCUUAAUUAUGAGAAUAAUGAACCCAUUUUGAGAUAUAAAAAAAGUGUUUUUUUUUUAACAAGGGAUUUAUUUAAAUUUGAACUAUGGGUUUUUAGGCAUCUAAAGCGGGAAAGAAUUAACUAAUUAAAUUAGAUAGAAAGGGAGGAUGAAUAAGCAGGUAAGUUUUACAUACUUGAACAAAGCAGUCAUGAAAGAAAAGCCUGACGAAACUGGCAGGCAUACGUGUAUCCGUUCUUGAAACUUUCUCUACGACUCUAAAUACAAUGAAAUGCACCUGGGGACAACUCUUCUUGUAAAAGAAGGGAUCUAAUCCUGCAUUUGAAGAGAAGGGGUAACCCUCCAAACCACUAGACCUAUCACUACAAGACCAAAACACCUCAUUUUUUCUGCCUAAAAUUGAUUUGAACUCACUCAACACCUGUGUUUGUGUACGUCUUGCUGUUUUUAUUUAUAGAGACAAAUAGCAGCCAUGAUUGUGAAUUGUGAAUUUGUGAUAGAAGAAUGACAUUAAUGAACAACAAGACAUCUUCUUGUUAGGCGCGUUAUCUAGGACAAAAUCAUGUAUUUUUUUAAAUGAUGAUUUAAGUAUUGAUGAUAGAUGAUGUUCUUUCCUAUAUGUAAGUUCACAAAGGUGUCGUGUGGUGAUUUUAUGUUGUUUUUUGAGUUUGGUUAAGGCUUUUCACAGCAGAGUUAAUAGAGGGUAUGGUUAGUUUACAAUACUACUUGUAAUGGAAUUAUGUAACCUGUAAAACUUCGGUGUAUUUGGCACUUCUUAAUUUAUACGUCUCCUUUAUUAACCAUAUUAGGUGAUAGAUAGUGUGGCUCUACUGCUAUUUUAGUGCUGUGUUUCAUGUAUAUGCUAUAUGUGGUUUACUAGGUAGGUGGGUUGGAUUGUUAUAUCCUUGAUAAUGGAAUGAUAGAGGGGAGGGAUACUCUCUGGUAUAGCAGGGUAUAUAGUGGAUGAUGGAAUUCCCAUGGAAUUACAUACUAUCCUUCUCCUGUUUUGUUUGAGGGUGUCUUCACUUCUUGUGUAAACACUCUUGAUUAUAUUUGAUAAUACUUUGGCCUUUUCCAAAAAAAAAAAAAAAGAAAUAUAUUUGACUUCAUCUUAGCUAAUUGCACGAUUAAUUGCAUCAUCCCCGUUGUCCACACUCAAUUGCGUGGUUGAAUCCGAUGAUUAAUUGGUGGACCAACUAUAUUUUUAUUUGUUUUGCCACCAAAACAAUACUGUUCUCAUAAGGAUGGUAAUUCAAAUUAUCUUUGUGCAUAGGAAAUCAGCAGAGAAAAGUCCUAAAUCCUGGAAGACAAAUAUAUGGAUUCCAUACAGCAAAUAAAUAAAGAAGAACUUCAAACAAAGACCACUCUGGAUCAAACUCAGAUCAAAGAGCUUCUUGAUAAUGGGAAUCUCAUUGAACAAAGCAGAAGCAUCAAGUAGCAACAAGACAAAAAAAAUGUAUUAAAUGAAUAAGAAACUUAAUUAGGAGUACUAACUAAGAUAUGACAUUCACUUCAUUAAUUAUAUAUAAACUUAUUAAAACAAGAAGUAUUAAAGAGAACCUUUCCUAAAAAUGGCAUAUUAAAUUAGAAGCUGCCGAAAUAAAUAAUAAAUAGUAUACCAAUUGGUUUGCUUAUCUUGAGUAUUUCAUUGACAUGAGAAUGUGCAUUUGUAUUAUGGUUUAUCAAAGCAUUCAUAUUCAUAUUGGUCUCUUCUACUUUUUAUUCCAUAUUCAAUAUAAUAAUGUUGAAUUGAUAAACGUAGUAUAUAUAUAAACCUUACAAUAAAGUGUCUUCAUGAUAAAUAAAAAGGCCUCUGGUUUUAUUUAUAUCCUAAUGUUGAACAGAUAUGAAGUUAUAAUAUCAUUAAUGUCAUAUAUAUAUAUAUAUAUAUAUAUAUAUAUAUAUAUAAUAGAUAAUAUAUUCAAAAAAAAUGUGUUAGAAAUUUUUUUAAUCACUAUUUCUGGUUUAUGAAAGUCCAUAUGUGAGUGAGCAAAGUUGUAAGAUUAUACAGGACCUGUUUGGAUACAUGUUAUUAUAAAUACUUUUAAGAAAAAUAAAUAAAUAAAUAAAUUUGAUCAUAAGUUAUUAACUUAUACAUAAAUUAAAAAUCAUCUUUUAUUUUAAAAGAAACUAACAUGAAAGGGCUUUAAUUAAGUAAUUUAUUUAUAAGAUAAUUGUAACUUUUAGGAAAGUUUUUUUUUUAUAUUUCUUUUCCUAAAGUUGUUUAUAAAGAAGUUUGUCUUGUCUAGACUGACUCAUGUUCGCAUGCCUGAAUUUUUGGUUAAUUUCUAUAUAAAAAAAAAUUUAGAUAAACUUUGCUUAAAAAGACUUUGAUUGUAAGUCGCUUUAAAUAUUGACGGAGACAUACACCUGUAUUAUCACAUCCCUGUUUUGAGACUCAAUCAAAUUCUUUAAUAAAAUGAUUCUUUUAUAGAGGAAUCUUAAACAAAAGUCUUUUUUUAUCUUCUGCUUAAUUAUAUUCGAUUCUCGAUUCAAACAUAUAGUUUGAACUAAUAAUAUAGUUUAAUUUAAUUAAUAACUAUAUUCAACCAUGCAAUUAUAAAAUUAUUAAAAAUAGAAGAUUCAAGAAACGAUUCAACCAUAGAAUUAAUAACUAUAUUCAACCAUACAACCUAAGAGGAGACGAUUCAAGAGAUACGUAACUUUUACCUAAUUAUAAAAUUAAUUAAAAAAACUAUGAUUAGAAAUAGAAGAUUUAAUUAUUAAUUUUUUUGUAUUUUUGUUGAUUUUUUAUAAACUAAAAAAUUAUUGGGCUAGAGUAAUGCACGUUGAGUUUGAUUAUCGUAAAUGACAUCUUUGGAAAGAAAUUAUGAGCUUUACAUGUGAUCAAGUCUCAGACUAAUUAAGGAUUAGUCUCAUAAUCAAUCUCAAUAUCAAACUAUAUACAUUGGCUUUGCCCUAUUGGUACUGGGUUGAAAAUGACAAUCAAUGGGCCUAGUCUUUCUUUUUACGUUUGUUGUUAUAAACCAGGAAGGGUAAACAUCGGGAGUACAUGUGUUCUUAUUCAUAAAUAAUAAGGUUAUAUCAUAACAUAUAAUAUUGUACAUACCACGAGCUUUACCCACACCCUAGUGUUGUAACCUAACAAUAGGUGAUUUUUACACUUCAUUCCAAUAUUUGUUUGGCCCAUAAAAUAUGAGUAAUGCUCAACAAUCUCCACCUUGACAAAUAUUCAACCUCAUCGAAGAUAAAUAGCAAAUCGACCUUUAUCUCCUAGAUUGGGGGUCAUAUCAUUGUGACUGUCUUGGUUAACAUAUCAGUUGCAUUAUCUGAAGUGUGAACCUUCCUAAACAAAAUCUAACUAGAUAUCAUCAACUCCUUUAUCUUGUGGAACCUCACAUCAAUAUGUUUUGUUUUAGCAUGAUACACCUAAUUCUUUCCCAAAUCAAUAACACUCUGACUAUCACAAUGCAACUGAACUCCACCUUACUCAAUGCCUAACUUCUUCACUAGUCGUGUUAACCACACAACUCCUUUCCUUGCCUUUGCUACAAUCAUGUACCCCACUUCGGUUGUUGGCAUUGCCAAAAGAGACUGAACAAUGGACUUCCAACAAAUAGGCUCACCUACAAGAGCAAAGACAUACCAUGUUGUAGACAUUUUGUCAUCCAGAUCACUAGCAUAGUCAAAAUCCACGUAUUCCACAACUGAAGGAUCACCCUAUUAAUUGUCAAACAUAAUACCAUGACCUAUUAUAUCCUUUAGGUACCUUAAGAUCCACUUCGCUACUUCCAAAUGUCGCUUGCCUAGGUUGGACAUAAACUUGACUUACAACAUAUGACAAAUCCGGUCUAGUGCACACCAUAGCAUACAUCAAGUAACCAACUACACUGGCAUAGAACCUUUUGACAUGUACUCCACCUCAGCAUUUGUCUUUGGACAUUGGUCUACAGAGCCUUAAGGUUUUGAGUUAAAGUGUUUUGUCAUAAGGUUCGCUUAUGUGAUGGCUCAUGGUCUCAUUAGUGUAAAUCUCUUUAUUGUUUAUCCCUCUCAUAUUUUCCAACAAUUGGUAUCAGAGAUGAUGGUUUGACUAGAUGACCGACUCAGACGAAUAAGAUGACAAAGAUGGAUUCUAGGCCCUAAGGAUUUCUUGUAUUGAAAGUCUUCCUAAUAGUAGGUCCAAGUAGUGUGUCCCAUGGGUGGAGUUGUGGUGCAAGUAUCUAGAGCAGAUGGGCUCUAAUGACCACCAUGAAGUACUCGUGGAUGAUAAUGACUUUCGCUCGAAAGGAAGAUUAUCAUGUGAAAAAAACUUACACUCGAGGGAGAGAUUGUUGGAAUACAAGUGUAAGAUAAAAUCUCGUGAAAAGGCUAAACACCAUAUAAGUGAAGAUAAGACUUAUAAAUUAGCUGAACCUUAAAAUUUUGUGUUAAAGUAUGAUGUCAGUUUGCUUAUAUGAUUGAUGUGCUCGAGACUCAUUGGUGUAAAUCUUCUCGAUAUUUAUCCCCCUCGGAUUUCCCAACAACAUCCAUAUAUUCUAAUGAAGGUGGAACAGAUUUUUCUUUAGUUUUCUUGUUUACUUUUGCCACCAAAAACAUGUUCUCUUGAUCAUGGUAAUUCAAGUUAUCUUUGUGAAUAGGAAAUCUGCAGCAGAGAAAACUCCUAAUUCCUGAAAUAUAUUUAUGCAUUCAAUACAACAAAUAAAUAGAUAAGAACUUCAAAAAUAGACCCGCGAAGUAUUAUAUUUGCCCUCUUAAUCAAACUCGGAUAUAAAAAAAAAGGCGUGAUAAUGAGAAUCUCACUAAACUGGGAGAAGCACCAACUAGGAUAAUAAGAUAUAAAAACAUUAAAUGAAUAACCAACAUAGGGCAGGCUCUAGAAUAAGGUAGGGAGUGGUUAAGUAUGCAUUAAAAUAUAAAAGUACAAUAUACUAAUUAACUAAGAUAUGACAUUGAAUUCACUAAUUAUAUAUAAACUUUGUAUCAGUAUUCAUUAUAUAUAAAUUAAAUUAAUUAAAGCAAGAAUUAUUAUAAAAAAAAUUGCUACAAAUGCAUCAUAUAUUAGAUACCUAAAGAUUAGAAGCUGCCGAAACAUAUAAUAAAUUGGGUAAAUUAUAAUUUUUCUUCUCUUUAAUUUUUUAUCGGCGAUUUUAGUUUCUUUAUUUUUCACUAAUUAAGUCCUCACAUUUUAAAAAAUUUAAAAUUUUGAUUUAAUUGUUAAUUUUUUUAUAUUUUAUUUUUUAUUUUGAUUCAAUUCAAUCUUAGAUUUAAUAAAUUUAUUUAAGAUAUCAUAAAAAAAAUAAUUUAAUUAGGUAAAAUAUAAGGAUUAAAGUUGAAAAAAAAACUAAAAUCACGAAGAAUUAAAAAAAAAUACUAGUUAGCUAUAAUAAAUAGUUUAACAACUUAAGGAUUGCUUAUCUUGACUUCAUUGACGUGACAGUGGACAUUUGUAUAUGGUUUAGCAAGGCAAUAUGUAUAUUGGCUUCAUUUGAUGAAUAUUUUGAUUUUCUAUCGAAAAAUUAUGUUUGAUGAAUAUUUUUAAAAAAAUUUCAUCAUGACGCCAAUCGUAUAAUCUUUUAUCCUAAGAUUUUGAUUGUAAGUCAGUUUAAAUAUAAACUAUAUUGACUGAGAAACGUGCACCAUUAUUAGUUCAUGCCUGUUUUUAAGAGUUGAGUACUCUAUCAGAUUCUUUAAUAAAAUGAAAUGGUUGAUAAACAAAAAUAAAAAUGAAAUGGAAACUUGAGAAAAUUAGAAUAAUUAAGAGAAAUUAUACAUUUUCAUUUUUAAUAGAAGAAUCUUCUACAUAAAAAUCGUUUUCUAUCCUCUGCUCAUAUUGAAUUCUCGAUUCAAACAUUUAGUUUUAACGAAUAAUAAUUGAGUUUAAUUUAUAUAUCUCGUCAAAUUAUGUGGGAAGUACUGACAAAACCAUAAAUCCAUUAAUAUUGUACCCCAAAAAAAAACAUUUCCAUUUCAAAUAAAGCCGGCAUAAUAUAAGUCAACUAUAUAAAAUAAUAUACUGCUGGAUCAUUCUAUCAGAGCCUAUCCUUUUAAUAUAUAGCUAUUUGUUGUUCCCCGUUUUCUUUCUGCAAGUGAUGUUAUUCCUAUAGAAUAGUAGUAUUUUGAAGGACUUUGAUAGCAUAACAACGUGAGCAUUUAAAAACUAGUGACAUUUGUAGAUCGCAUCACUUGGUUUCAUAUUAUUUUUUAAUAAUAUAGAAUUAUACGUUCUCAUGAAUACAUGAUCUCUAGCUAGCAUGUUAAGAGUUAGAAACAUGCUAUUUUAUGGUAUAUACUUGCAGUAUUGAAGCAAUUGAAAGACACAUAACGUAACUAAUUAUAGAAUAAUUCUAAAUUUUCUUGUAAAAUUCUUCUGUCAAUCUUCUUACUUGUUCUAAAUAUGAAAUAUAUUUGUAUUUUAAGACAUUAAAUAUAUUUACUUUUUUAUUUAACAUUUUUUUUAUAAAAUGUUAAAAGGAUUUGUAAGAAAAUAUAACAUUACUGCUCCUUGAAACAAUCCCAUAUAUAUUACAUUUUACAAGGCAUUUCAGCAGAAAAAUGGAUUAAACCAAAUGCUAACAAAUUAAACUAUAUUUUCAAGCAAACAACAGCAAGAACUUAUACUGAAAUUAAUCCGGAUUUGGGUGUACAUGCUGCUGAGACUACUCUUUAAUUGUUUUGUUAGAGAAUUAAUUUUGAAUACCUUGAGUUAAAAGUGGACAGAUGAUUUGAUUUUACGCCAAAAAGAGUAAGAUAUGUGCAACCGGGCCCCAAAAUGCAGAUUUCGAUCUACAUGUUUAGGUUGGAACCUAACUGAAAGUUGGAGAAAAGCCGAAAUAAUAAUCAAAUCAUAGUAGCAUGUGGUUCUAGAUAAUCUUCAUAUUCAAAGAAUUUUAUCUGUCAAAUUUAGAUGAAUGAAGGGAAAAUUCAAUUGCAUGAUGUCCUAUCAUCUCGCCAAAGGUCACACCUACUUUGCGGACAAACAAGACUGACAAACAGGUUGAUAAAUGUUAUGAAAAGUUAAAUUAACAUGUUAUAAAAAAAAGUUAAAUACAUUUAUAUUACUAUACCCGAUUAAAUUACAUGUUUCAUAAAUUAGAAAAUUUAUGAUAAAUAACUAAGGAAUUGUAAUGAACCAAUAUAAUAUAGCUUUUUGGUAUCACAAAUUUUGGACAAUUUUACCUUUUAUCAAUUUUUACAUUUAUAUCACUCUCCUCUAAUAACUACACACUAUUCUGUGUUUGUUAAUUACUCUUUUUUAACUUUUUCUUUUUUUCUUUUCCUUUUUUCAUUUUUAUUUAAAAUAUAUAAAGAAGUACAUUAAUAAUAAAGGAAAUGCCUCAUUUUAGUAUUAUAUAUUUUUAGAUAAUUUUAUCCUUCACCAACUUAAUUAUUCUUUUUUAUAACAAUUGUCUCACUGCUUUUUAGUUAGUUACAAUCUCACAUAUAAACUUUUCCUUAUUUAAAAAAUAUAUGUUACGGACUGACGUCGUUUAUUUUCUGUUUUGAAGUACUCCGAGGAAGUAACGUUGGAGAGAAAGCUGAGUUAGAAAACUUUUUUCUUUUAUCAGCAAAAAAUAAUUAUCAUUGAUCAUUAAUAUAUACAAAAUAUGAUUACAAAUCCCUCUCAAUAAAAUGGAAGUGGACGAAAAAUGAAUUUUCUAGUUCUAGUAAUCAUGAAAGUUUAUAAAAAAAAAAAAAAAAAAUAGUAACCAUGAACCAAGUCCAAAAAGUAGUCAAUACUCGAACAUGAACAAGUGGAAAAUUAAAAAAGAAUUGCAUGCAACCCCAUUCCAAUGCCAAUGUUACUGUUUCACUUGAUAUGGUAGCCUAUAUAGGGGACGGUAAACGUGUUCUCGUGGUUCAAUUUUUUUCUUCAUUUUAUAUCAACUUGUCCCCAGAAAUAGUUAAUAUAUUAUUUUGAACUUAAACCUUUAUUAAUGGUCUGUUUUUCUUUGGCUAUUUUAAUUAAAACUUUCUAACUCGACGUAAUCCCGUUUAAAAGUUUUCAUUAAAAAAUUCAAUGCUCCGUUUUAUUUCAUUUUUUAUUAGUUUUUUUGUUAUUUUUAGUGAAAAAUCCUUAAACAUUACCUUAGCAGCGACACAUCUCCUAAAUUUUUAAUAAUUUAAUCUAAAAAAUAUAUGAUUUGAUAUUAUGAUAUACAUUCUACCAACUAAUUAAAGAAGCUUUGUAUCCGCGGCUUUUGCUUUAAACUUCUAAGAGUAGAACUCAUCCGUGAUUGAAUACGAUAUAUCCUUUUCUAUAAUUUAAAUUUGGAUCAAGUUAAACAAAAAUGAAUUUAUAUUCUCACCAAAAGUACAUAUUUAUAUUGCAUAUAUAUGUAAACAUUUAGAUGCUUUUAAGUUUUAAUGUAAAGUAUAUUGCAAAAAGAAAGCUUUUCAUGACACACAACAGUACACUGUGUUUAAAGAAAUUUAUUCUUUUUUAUUUGAUUGGAAAAAAAUUGCCAUUGAUAACAGGAUAUUUGUAUUUUAUAAAUAAAAAAAAUCCAUCCCUAAAUUAUACGUGCCAUGUUUGUAUAUGUGUACCGUUACAAUUUACAUAUCCACUUGUAUAUGUGACGUCAUGCAUUUGAUAAUAUGGUGACGAAUUUGCAGCAAAGUACCAUUAAUUUCUUAUUUAAAAAACACUAAACAGCUAGUGAUAAUAAUAUCCACGAGAUGAGUUGACAAUUGACAUGUUCGUUCAUCUUUAAAUGAAAGAGUGAUCAUUACCCUUUUAUUUUACAUGGAAAUAACGGUUUUGCUGUCAAAAAGAAAAAUAAAUAAAUAAUGGUUCUUAUACUUAAACCGAAUUUUACAAACUACUAUAUUUACCCUUUUAUAUCUUUUAUUUUUCUUUAUUUUACUAUUUUUACUUUAAUGUUUUCUCAUCUUUUCUCAUACAGCAGUGUUGUGUUUAAAGUAAUACCAUCCCCAGGCAUUAUACAUGUUCCCAUAUUUGUACAACUUAUUGUUUAACUACUAUCCGUUUACAUAUAACUUAAUCCACUUGGAGACGUGAUGAGUUGAUGAUUUCGCAAUAAGGUGACCAAAUGCACAAAAAUACGUACCAAUAUUAGUUUUUUUAAUAAAAAAAUAGUAACAGCUAUGAUAAUAUUCACAUGAUGAGUUGACAUAUUCCUUUUCUUUAAGAUAAAAUAAGUGUAUUCUUCAAGUAAUCAGAAAUUAUUAUUUUUUUGAGACGUAAAAUUAUCAAAAUAAAUUUUUCUUUUAAUAAACUUUUUCUUAUCCACAUGACUAAGAAUCCAACCUUUCACAAUAUGUUUCUCAAAGGAGUGAUGAUUACUUCAUUAUUUUAUGAGACUUGAUAUAGAAACAGUAAUUUAUAUAAUAUUUUUUUUUUCUCUUUAUCAUUAUGACAUAAUAAAUGAUGUAAGGGUGAGAAAUAGAAAAAAAAUACUAUGGUAUAAAUUGUUAAAUAAAUUGUUAUACAUGUGGCAUUUCUCUUAUAUUAUAUACAAUAAUAUUGCUCUUAAAUUUAACCGAAUUUUCAAAACAUUUAAUAUACGUACCGUACUACAAUUUUUCUUAUGACGACAAUAUGAAAUUAAAUUCAAACCACCAACAUGGAACCACGAAACAAGGACAUUGCAUUCACUGGCCAUUUGACUCUCUAUAAAUAGAAGCACUGGGUCUGCUUGUUCUUGCAGCAACAACAACACGCUCGUAUAUAAUUGAAAACAUCAUAAAGAAAAAAACAUGAAUUCCCUUCGUCUCAGUUUUUUCUGUGUGGUGGUAGUUCUUGGAGCAUUACCCUACUUCUCAUAUGCACAACUAGAUCCCUCGUUUUACGCUAGCACAUGUUCAAAUUUGAGUUCAAUCGUACGUGAGGUGCUCACAAAUGUUUCCCUGUCUGAUCCCCGCAUGCCUGCCAGUCUCAUCAGGCUCCACUUUCACGACUGUUUUGUUCAAGUAAUUAACUAGCUAUAUUUUUCUUAUAUAUAUCUUAACUCGGUAAUAAUACUACUUCUGGUCCUAUUUAUCACUUAUUUCUUGUAAUUUGCGAGUGUUUUGUUUUAUAUAUAUACUCAAAGGAGGUAGCAUAAUAUACGAGUGUUUUGUUUUCAUUUGACUCAAAUUUCUUGUUGCUGAGAAUUGAAGUGGAAUUAUGUAUAUAUCCAGGGUUGUGAUGCAUCAAUUCUGUUGAACCAAACGGAUGAGAUCGAUAGUGAGCAAACUGCUUUUCCAAAUGACAACUCCAUAAGAGGGUUGGAUGUUGUGAACGAGAUCAAGACCAGGUUGGAAAAUGCUUGUCCUGGCAUAGUUUCUUGUGCUGAUAUUCUUGCCCUUGCAGCUGAAAUAUCUUCUGAGCUGGUAUAUAUAUGCAUUUUAACUUGUUCACCUCAUCUUUCAUUUUCUUAGGUUUAACUUGUUCACCUCAUCUUUCAUUUUCUUAGGUUUAUCUUACCUUUUUCUUUUUUUCAUUUAUAUAUCACACAAUAUAUAUGAUUCCAACAUCUUAGUUUGUUCUAAAUAUAUAAUGUUUAAUUCCAUUUCGAUCCAACCUAGUUUAUAGAAAAUCAAAAUCAAAAUAUUUAUAGAAAGAAUCAAUUUUGUGAAUAUUAUUAUGAAAAGGGUAAAAUAUUCAUGUUUUUAGUCUCUUUAAUUUUAUUUUUUUUAUAAAAUAUUUCAGUCCUCCAAAUUUUUUUGUCUAUUUCUAUUUCUCCACUUUUGGUUUAAAGUAGUUAUAAUUAAAAUCCAAUGACAGUUUAUAAUAUUCGUCAAAAAACUAUUUUUUGAGGACUAAAAAUAGAGUAUAUGUAAGUUAGAGAAUAGAAAUAGGACAACAAAAUUUUGGACGGCUAAAACCGAUUCUAAAAAAUUUAGAAGAAGUAAAAAUAUAUUUUUUCCAUAUAAAAAUAUGAAAAACCAAUGUUCCUUAAUUAGGGUUGGUUUGAUUUCCUUCACACUUUUGGUUCAAAAAAACUGGUUUUUAAAAUAAUUAUUCCAUCCUACUCAAUAAUUAAUUUCUAAUCCAAAACCUAUCGAGUUUUAAAAGUAAUUUUUAAAAAAGUGUUUUAAAAAGUAAGAAUAAAAAAACAGAAAUAUAUGAGAAAUGUUUACUCAAUGUUUUAUUUUUCUUAUUCUAUAUAUUUUAUUGUCCUAGUUCAAUGAUACGGAUCAUAUAAAGUGAUAUUGCAUGAGAUGAAGUAUAUGAACUUGGUAUUGAUUUUCUGUUAUUUUUAAACCUAAUUUAACUAAAAAUCAUUUUUAAAAAUAGAAAUCAAACCCCCCUUAAAGUUUCCAAGUGAUGUUUAGAAGUUCCAUGAAACCUAUNNNNNNNNNNNNNNNNNNNNNNNNNNNNNNNNNNNNNNNNNNNNNNNNNNNNNNNNNNNNNNNNNNNNNNNNNNNNNNNNNNNNNNNNNNNNNNNNNNNNNNNNNNNNNNNNNNNNNNNNNNNNNNNNNNNNNNNNNNNNNNNNNNNNNNNNNNNNNNNNNNNNNNNNNNNNNNNNNNNNNNNNNNNNNNNNNNNNNNNNNNNNNNNNNNNNNNNNNNNNNNNNNNNNNNNNNNNNNNNNNNNNNNNNNNNNNNNNNNNNNNNNNNNNNNNNNNNNNNNNNNNNNNNNNNNNNNNNNNNNNNNNNNNNNNNNNNNNNNNNNNNNNNNNNNNNNNNNNNNNNNNNNNNNNNNNNNNNNNNNNNNNNNNNNNNNNNNNNNNNNNNNNNNNNNNNNNNNNNNNNNNNNNNNNNNNNNNNNNNNNNNNNNNNNNNNNNNNNNNNNNNNNNNNNNNNNNNNNNNNNNNNNNNNNNNNNNNNNNNNNNNNNNNNNNNNNNNNNNNNNNNNNNNNNNNNNNNNNNNNNNNNNNNNNNNNNNNNNNNNNNNNNNNNNNNNNNNNNNNNNNNNNNNNNNNNNNNNNNNNNNNNNNNNNNNNNNNNNNNNNNNNNNNNNNNNNNNNNNNNNNNNNNNNNNNNNNNNNNNNNNNNNNNNNNNNNNNNNNNNNNNNNNNNNNNNNNNNNNNNNNNNNNNNNNNNNNNNNNNNNNNNNNNNNNNNNNNNNNNNNNNNNNNNNNNNNNNNNNNNNNNNNNNNNNNNNNNNNNNNNNNNNNNNNNNNNNNNNNNNNNNNNNNUAAAAAAGUAAAGGAAUUUACUCUAUAUAUUUUUCUGCUAUAUAUAAUUUUAGAAGUUAUGCAAAGCAAUUGUGUAAAAAACUAUUUAUUGAAAAAUUAAUUACCUUCAUUUUAUUUUUAUUUUAAUCUUAUUAAGAAAACAAUUUAAUUGUUUUUUGCCUGUUUUGGUGGUCUACUUUAAAUUAUGAUUGUGGUCACAUAUUCGACCAUUAUUUAAUAAGAAUACAUGGGGUUGAAGAAUUGAUUAAAACAAAUCAUUGUCAAGCAUAAAACUAAAUUUCCUGGUGGAAUUUUGAUCUUAAUUAAUUGAAACCAUAAGUUCUUAACAAUUUUUGUUCACCUUUUGUACUAUUUGGCAGGCUGGUGGUCCUGUUUGGGAAGUUCCACUGGGAAGAAGGGAUGGUUUUUCAGCAAAUCAAACACUUGCUAAUGAAAAUCUUCCUGCUCCUAGUCUUAGCAUUGAUCAACUUAUAUCCGCAUUUGCUAAUCAAGGCCUCAACAUUACUGAUCUAGUUGCACUUUCAGGUAUGAGAUUUUUUGCAUUAAUAAAAAGAAGGUUUUAUGAUGUGGUUUCAAGCCCAGUAUGAAAAUAUUAUAUAUAUAUAUAUGUGUGUGUGUGUGUGUCAAAUGCUUUAAAUUGAUUAAAUAAGUAAAGAAUAAACGAGAUGAGUUUUCUUUUAUAUGGUUGUACAUGUAUCCAUAUUGCUACUCUUGUUUUGUUAAACUAAUAAUUUAGAUAAAUUUUAUCAAAUUCUUUCUUUGGCAAUGAAUGCUCUUGUUAUAAUCAAAUUUAAUUAAACAAAAGUAGCAAUGUAUAUCAAAUGACAAUGUCAAUGGAGUACUACUCGGUUACUUGAACUCGAAACGUGAAUUAUUCUAAAUCCCUAGUAUUUUUCUGUGAUUCAGAUAAAAAAAAAAUAUUGCAAUGAAUGCUCUUAAUUGUAACCAAAAAGGCAAUGAAAACCCUUAAAUAAGAAUGGCAUUUGUUGUAUUACUUACUAAAAAUGUUUAAUUUUUAGGUGCUCAUACAAUUGGUAGAGCUCAAUGCAAGUUUAUUGUUGAUCGAUUAUACGAUUUCAAUGGCACCGGCAAUCCAGAUCCUACUCUCAACACAACUUACUUACAAUCAUUGCAAGUAAUAUGUCCCGAUGGUGGACCUGGCUCUGAUCUCACCAAUUUGGACUUAACCACUCCUGACACGUUGGACUCAAGUUACUACUCCAAUCUUCAACUUCAAAAUGGCUUGCUUCAGAGUGACCAAGAGCUUCUUAGCGCAAACGAUACUGACAUUGUUGCCAUUGUCAACAGUUUCACUAGUAACCAAACUUUUUUCUUUGAAAACUUUGCAGCAUCAAUGAUUAAAAUGGCCAGCAUUGGAGUGCUAACGGGAUCAGAUGGAGAAAUUCGAACACAAUGUAAUUUUGUGAACGGAAAUUCUUCUGCUCUUACCACCAAAGAAUCUUCACAAGAUGGCAUGGUUAGCUCAAUGUAAAAUAAAUGGACAAAGGUUAUAUAUGCUGGAAAAUGCUGGGGUUAAAGGUGUCAAUAAAGAGUUCUGUAUAUGCAUAUAUAUAUGCCAUGUGCAUGUGGUGAACCGUUAUAAACUGUAUUGUACUUUGUAUUCUAUACACCUAGCUUUGUAUUAUACCCUGCCGUGUGGACAAACUAUAUACUACUAAAUAAUUGCUGUCACAAGCAAUCAUGAACUCCAUACUGCCUUAAAUUUCAAUAUGUAUUAAUGAAGUUGAGUUAAAAGUAUCACUUCAAUAAAAGUGCAGAUGAUUACAAUUGUAUGUUGGUAUGAACUUUUUAGGAAUGAUUGUGAACCAAGGAAACUAGUUAUUGAAUAAUUCUAAAACUUUAGAAAUUUCCACAAAAUGACCCAUGUUGGUAUACUAUAUACUUGAAUGUUAAAGUUUGAAACAGAGGAAAGCGAGUAAUAGAGGGAAAGAUAUAUUAGUGAGUGAAGAACAAGAGUAAAUUAAGUUGUUAGUAAUCGUAGAUAGUAUUUCACUUAAAUUCACUGGCAAAGAAGAACAUGAGUGCCUUAUGUUUUCCAUCAUUAUUUCAAUAUCGUUUUCUCUUACCGCACAAAAUGAUUGGACCCUUCUGGUGCUAGGAAGAUGCAAAACAACUACUGAUGUUAGCAUCUUUGGGCUUUUAAAAUAUUUGGACUUUCAGAGAAUUGUAAUAUGAAUUAGACCCAAGCUUAAGUAGUUCAUAACACUAACAUUGUCUUUAGCUAGAUAAAAAAAAAAAAAAAAAAAGUACUAGUAAGAGAUUAUGGGCAAAGCACAAAGUGCCAUACAAGUAAAUUGACAAAUAGUAUUGCGAGAGGUUAUGAGCAAAAAGUACUAGAAGGCAUUGGUAAAAAAAAGUAAUUUGUCCAGAUAUUGUCAAAGAUAUUGUCAAACCAACUUUAUCAUGGAAAGCAAUUGUAGACAUUUAUAUAUUCGGGAGAAAAACCUACUUGGAGACCACAUUGACAGCUUCAAUGGCUAGAUCACCAAUGUGUAAGCAACUAGAAUAACUUUCAAAGAUAUUUUAAAAUAGAAAACAUAAACAGGUCUUAAUUAAUAAGAAUAUAUAUAUUCACAUAAUGAACUUUUAAGUUGUGUAUAUUUUUUAAAGACUUGCAAUUCAUCUUUCAAUGAUACUUUAUUAUGCAUGUGUCUUGUAACUUUAUGUAAAUGUAAAUAACCUCUUUCUUCUUGGGUAAAUUAAACAAAAGAAAAAAUAUAACCAGUUAAAUGUGGGAAAUGGGAAUAUGCUCUUAGAAAAGAGAAAAAAAAACAGGUAUUGAUGGGAAGACUUUGAUAAUUCCUUCUAGAUUACACUAUCUGUUUUAUUUGUAGUUUAAAAGCACUCCAAGCUACGUUGGAGGGAACACUGAAAUUAGAAAAGCAGAAGUGGACGAAAAAGGAUUUUUCUUUCUUUAUUUCUUCUAGUAACCAUGAACCAAGUCCAAAAAGUAGUCAAUGCUCGAACAUGAACGCGUGGAAAAUUAAAAAAGCAGAAGUGCACAAAUUUUCACAUUACUGUUUCACUUAAUACGAUAGAAGUUAGGUAUGCCCUCGUUUAUCGUAGCCUAGUUAGGACUUGGGAGGUAUUUACUUGGAGACUGGAACGUUAAACGUGUUCUUGCCUUCUUGGGGGUUCAACUUUUUUCCUUCAUUUCUAUUAACUUAUUUUCAGAAAUAGAGUAGUUAUUAAUGGUGUAUUUUUUUUUCUUUGGCUGUUAUAAUUAUUAAAACUGUCCAAGUGCAUGUUUGUUCUCCGUUUAAAUUGUUAUCACACAAAAUUUGAGAUAAAUUCAACGGUCCAAUGCAAAGUUAACAUAAAAGGAAAGUCUUGAUCCUUCAGCAAAAUUGCAUUUGUCCUAACUAACGUUUAGACAAACAUUCUCUAUAUAACAAUCUAUCCGAUCCCCGUUUAAAAGUUUUCAAUAAAAAAAAUUCAAUGCUACGUUUUUUUUAUGCUUUUUGUGAAAAAUCCUCAAGCAUUACCUUAGCAGCGACACAUCUCCUAAAUUUAAUAGUUUAAUAAAAAUAUAUAUAUAUGAUUUGAUAUACAUUCUACCAACUAAAGAAGCUUGGUAUGCGCGGCUUUUGCUUCAAACUUCUAAAAGCAGAACUCAUCCAUGAUUGAAUAUGAUAGUAUACCCCCACCUCAUAACUCAAAUAUAGAGAGUUUUUAUUUUCUUUCUUUAAAAAUAAAAAAAAAGAAAAAAAGAGUUUUUAUUCUCUAUAAAUUUAAAUUUUAAUCAAGAUAAACACAAAUAAACUUAUAUUCUCACCAAAAAGUACAUAUUUAUAUAUAUUGCAUAUGUAAUCAUUUAUAUGCUUUAAUAUAAAGUGUAUUACAAAUAACAAACCUAAUUUGAUGAUCGAGUUUACAAAUAAAUAUCAUCCACUGGUGCAAUACACGUUAUCAUAUUUGUAUAAUUAGUUGGUUAAGGAAGAAAAGAAAAUAGAAAGGUAGAAGAUUUGAUCUUUUCUGUAAACAAAAAAAAAAAAAUUGAUUUGCAUGUAACUUAAUAUACCUAUAAAUAUGAAGUAUAUAUGCAUUUGGAAAUAAGGUGAGGAAGAGCACCAAAGUACCCUUUUAUUUUACAUAUAGAAUAAUGGUUCUUAAAUUUAACCUAAUUUUACAAACUACUCCAUACAAUACACCGUACUAAAAAAUUUAUUAUGACAACUGUAUGAAAUAAAAUUCAAACCACCAAUAAGGAACUAAUCCUUGAAAGAAGGGCAUUGCAUUCAUUGGGCUUUUUUCUCUCUAUAUAAAUAGAAGCACCCGGAUCUGUGUGUUCUAACUACAAAAAAACAACACCCUCAUAAAUUGCAAACACCGAUCAGAAAGAAAAAAUGAGUUCCCUUCGUCUGGCUUUAUGCUGUGUGGUGGUAGUGCUUGGAGCACUACCACACUUCUCAUAUGCACAGCUAGAUCCUUCAUUUUACGAUAGCACAUGUUCAAAUGUGACUUCAAUCGUACGUGAGGUGCUCUCAAAUGUCUCCCAGUCUGAUCCCCGCAUACUUGCAAGUCUCAUCAGGCUCCAUUUUCACGACUGUUUUGUUCAGGUAACUAUAUAUAAUUACUCUUCUUCAUAUCUUAAUUAACUCCAUUCAUAGUUAAUUUCUUGCCACAUGCAGCUAAUUAGUUAACUCUUAUCACGUCUUUUGAUUUUAGAGUAGUAAAUCCUUCCCUACUUCUAUUACCCCGAGCAAAACUCGUUUAUCAAAUUAGUAAUAUUUUUUCUUUUAUAUUAGAUGGCUAAAAUGCAAGGGUUCAUGAAAACAUUUCUAUAGAAAUUUUAAUAUUUUUAAAAUAAGUGUGUUUGAUUUAUCAAAUUUUCAAAAGCUGUUUUCAUUGAGAAGUAAUUUAAAUGAAUAUCUUUUAUUGAUCUUUUAUACAAAAUACAUUGAUACAUCAUAAUACAUAGAAGUGGUUGUACAAUAGAUUGGAUUUUAGUGUGCGUCUCCCCUAUGAGUAACGACUAUUUGAAAUAUAAAUUCAAAAUAACAUCAAGUAAUAAAUAAUUUUAAAAUACUUAUUUUAGAAAUAAUUUAUAACACUUAAUAGAUUUUCAUAAUUUCUGAGAACGGAAUCAAUCAUGCACCUGGUCUCCUCCAUCAAUUUUAGUGAAAUCUUUUUCCACUCCAAGUUAUGAACUGGGGCCUCUGGCUCAACCACUCCUUAUAAUGUUAAGUGUAAAAGCAAACGUGGUUUGAAAUGUCAAGGUUUCCUUAUCUUGGGCACUGAUAAAAGAGUACGUUGAAUAAAAGAAAAGGAAAAAUAAAGUGCACGUUGCUUUUUAAUGUAACUCAAUUAUUUUGUUGCUGAGAGAAUUGAAUUAAUUAUACAUGGAUGGAUAUGACAGGGGUGUGACGCAUCAAUUCUGCUGAACGACACGGACACGAUCGUGAGCGAGCAAAGUGCAGUGCCAAACAACAACUCAAUAAGAGGUUUGGAUGUUGUGAACCAGAUCAAGACUGCAGUGGAAAAUGCUUGUCCCGGCAUAGUUUCUUGUGCUGAUAUUCUUGCUCUUGCAGCUCAAAUAUCUUCUGAUCUGGUAUAAAUAAAUAUAUAUAUAUAUAUGAAGAAUUGAUUAAAACAAAUCAUCGUCAAGAAUAUAAAAAAAUAAAAAAUAAAUAAAAACUUCGUGGAAUUUUAAUCUUAAUUGAAACCAUAACUUCUCAACAAUUUUUGUUCACCUUUUGAAUUCUAUUUUGUCCAACUUAUAGAGUUUUAGUAUUUUUUGAUGCAUUUAUAUAUAGAGUUUUAGUAUAACUAUAUAUUUGGCAGGCUAAUGGUCCUGUUUGGCAAGUUCCAUUGGGAAGAAGGGAUAGUUUGACAGCAAAUCAAACCCUUGCUAACCAAAAUCUUCCGGCUCCUACUUUUACCAUUGAUCAACUUAUCGAAUCAUUUGGUAAUCAAAGCCUCAACAUUACUGAUCUAGUUGCACUUUCAGGUAUGAAAGCUUUUACAUUUAAUAAAUAAAAUGUUUUAUAAUUUGUAUUUACGAGUGUAUAGUAUUUUUUGGAUUUUUAUGAAAUCAGUGAGAAUUUAUUGAUUAUCUUUAAUAGGAUAUUUUCUCUUAAUCACUAUAAGACUUGAGCUAGUUAGGGAUCCAAACUUAGUUUGACUAGAACCAAGGACAUAAUAUUAAAUAUAUCUUCUUAUAUGCUUUAUAUUGUUUAAAUAAAAAAAAAACUAAAUGACGAUGAGUUUUUUUUGUGUGAUCAUAUUGCUACUCUUAUAAUAAUACUUAAACUAAUUCUAAUUUAGAUAACUUGGAUGAAAAUUAAUUAAACAACAGUAGCAAUGUUUAUAAUCAAAUGACAAUGAAUGCUCUCUUUUGAUAUAAAUACAUUCUUUUUUUAUAAAAAAAAUUAUCGUUAUACAUCUUUAGUAUCAUGUGUACCCAUUAGAAAACCCUUUAAUUGCAUUACUUAUUGAAAUUUUUCUUUUUUUAGGUGCUCAUACAAUUGGUAGAGCUCAAUGCAGAUUUUUUGUUGAUCGAUUAUACAAUUUCAGCAACACUGGCAACCCAGAUCCUACUCUAAACACAACUCUCUUACAAUCAUUGCAAGGAAUAUGUCCAAAUGGUGGACCUGGCACUAAUCUCACCAAUUUGGACUUAACCACUCCAGACACAUUCGACUCCAACUAUUACUCCAAUCUUCAACUUCAAAAUGGCUUGCUUCAGAGUGAUCAAGAGUUGCUUAGUGCAAAUAAUACGGAUAUCGUUGCCAUUGUCAACAAUUUCAUUAGUAACCAAACUCUUUUCUUUGAAAACUUUAAGGCGUCAAUGAUAAAAAUGGGCAACAUUGGAGUGCUAACGGGAUCACAAGGAGAAAUCCGAUCGCAAUGUAAUUCUGUGAAUGGAAAUUCUUCCGGACUUACUACUACUGCCACCAAAGAAUCAUCACAAGAUAGCAUGGUUAGCUCAUUGUAAAUAAAUUGGCAAAGGUUGUGCUGAAAAAUGCAAAGAUUGAAAGUACUAAUAAAGCGUUUUGUAUAUGCACAUAUAUGCUAUGUGCAUGUGGUGAACCAUUAUAAACUUUUUACUUUGUAUUCAGCACCUAGGACCUAGCUCUAUAUUAUUCACUACCGUGUGACAAAAUAUAUAUUUACUACACUCCUUCUAUUUCAAAAUUUUGCGUGCUUUAGCUUUUCUAUUUUCGCAGCAAAACAUUGGUUGUUUUAAAAUUUCAAGAUGUAAUGUGCAUUUUUUUCCAAUUAUAUAUAUCUUUAUAUGUAGUUGAGAGAUUAAGACUAUUUUAGUGGAAUAUUUGAUAACUUUAAGUUUUACAGUUUUUAAUGUAGCAUUACAUAGUGGAAACAGUAGAAAAUAUUUUCAUAGGAAUAUAAAUAAAGUAGUUGAAAAUAGUAUAAAAAUCUGUAAAACAAUAAAUAAAUGAUAAUUUAAUCUAAAUUUGUAUGAAUGAAAUAUUUAUAUAUCAGUGCAAAAACCGUAAAAUUCAAAGUUUUGGAAUGAAGGGAAUUUAAUCUAAAUUUCUGUCACAAGCAAUCGUGAACUCCAUUGUUUUAAAUUUCCACCUAGAUUAACGGAAAUUGAGUUAAAACUUAAAAGUACUACUUAGCUUCAACAAGAGUACAGACGACUCCAAUUAUAUGUUGCUACGAACAUAUAUUUUUUUGGAAUAAUUGUGAACCAAAGAAACAAGACAAACAAUUGAGUUAUACUGACGUGAUUCCUAUUUCUAAGCUAUGUUUGAAAUUUUGCCACUCCAAAGUUGAAGGGAUUGCGAAAGCUAGGUUUGGAUUGUAGCAACUAAUUUACUUAGGACAAAAAAAAAUUAUGCAAGCAAUUUUUUCAGUGAUGAUGUGUGGAUGCAUUAUCUAUUUCCUGAAUCCUGACAAGAACACAGAUAUCCAGCAGAAUCAAAGUUUUUUAUUGUACGAGAAAAACAUGUACUAAUAAGAAUCAAGGAGACUACAAAUUAAAUCUAGAGAAUCCAAUUCUAUUUUACAUGUUUUGGUCCAAUGAUGAGAAUCUAACUCUAUAAAUAAGAUUGCAUGAGUCUUUUGUGUGUAAAAGGAGCUUUUAUGUUUUAUUUGGCGUGGGCUUUCACUUUUGUCAGUUUUGUGCGUCAUGUUUUCGGGCUUUAGCAUCGUAUAGUGGUUUCUAUUUAUUUAUUUAUUUUGACUUAAUUAUACUUAUUUUUGUUCAUUUAAGUUAGAUUCUUAGAUUGUAUAUGAUUUUAAUCAUUUGAGUUUUUUUUAACUAGUUGCAUCUCAAUUGUUUUUUAUUUAAUGAUUAUUUAAAACCACGGGUUGAUAUCAUUGAUUGCUGAUCUGAUAUUUAAAAGUUUAUUAAAACUAUGGUUCAACACCCAACUAAUUUAACUUGGUGAGAAUUCCUGAAAAGUUGAAACCUAAUUUCUAGAUAAUGAGACCUAAUUUGUUGAUUUGGAAACGAAGUGGAAAGAAAUAAGCAGAAAGAUAUGAUAAAAUAUUCAAUUUUUACCAUUUAUUUGAAAAGAGAAAUAAAAAGGAAAGGAUUCUAAAAUAAAUAAAUAAAAAAGGAAAGGAGUUAUUUUCAUGACAUGGGAUCUAUUAGAAAACAUUCUCCCUCCCCAAAUCGGCAUUUUCUUUUCUUUUUUGUUAAUUUCUUAAGAUUAAAUAAAUUUCUAUAGCUUAACUUUUUUAAAAUUAAUAAAUAAGUAUUAUGUUAAGAAAAAAUAAGAAAUAAAAAAUACAGUUGUUAAUUAGUAUACAAAUAUUUUCAUAUAAUUUCUCUAUUGGUACUGGUAUUUGAACUUCUCAAAAUGUCCACCCGACGUCUAUCUAACAAUUAUGGUUAAUUAUAUGUAUGUAAAUAUGAUUGAUUUUAUUUAAAUGUAGUUCAUUAUUAUUCAAUAUAUUAAUCACCUAUAAAUACCAAUUUAUUCAUAUUUUUAUAUGUAAUUGAACUCGUUUGAUAGUUAGUAACUUCAUAACAUUAUUAAUCACUUAUAAAAUAAAAUUAAUUAUAUACUAACUUUAUUAAUUACUUUUAAAACAAAGUUAACCACCACUUGUGGUACAAAUUAAAAUUAAACAUAUUUUUAUAUGUAAUUGAACACAUUUGAUAAUCAAUAACUUCAUAACAUUAUUAAUCACUUAUAAAAUAAAAUUAACUAUAUACUAAGCAUAUUUUCAAGCGGUUUUAGUGGGACGAAUAUCAUUUUCCUUUAUCUAUUUCUUUUCUUCUUAUUUCUAUCCAUUCAAAGAACAAAUCUUCUAUACUCUAUUUCUCUUCUUUCUAUUUCUUUUCUCUAUAUUUCACUUAAUCAAAGCAUAAAGGUCAUUGAGAUGGGUACAAAAAUAUGUAUUUAUUUUUGUAACCAUAGUAUCGGUAUAAAAUUAUUCUCAUAAAAAAUAAUAAUAAUUCUUCGUCCUAGACUUUAAGUGUAGAUAAAAUGGGUAUGUGUCGAUGACAAAUAAUGUGCAUUAGUUGUUCUUAAUGCACAUGAGAUUUUCGUUUUCUUUUUUUAACAUUUUUCUAGUGUACAUUAAUUGAGCUUGAUUUGUGGUAUUAAUUAUUUUCUCACAUUAGAAUCGACCCUAAGUGAAUUCCAACUCCAUAUAAGAUGAAAUGUUUCGUUAAUUACAACGAGAAACUGAAUAAUACAUUAUUAAAGAAUCAACUCACAUUAUUAAAGAAUCACUUGAAUCUGCUAUUACAAGUAAUAUUCGCAUCAAAGGCUUUGUGCCUUGUUAAAGCCAAACAAACAACGGCAAAAUUAGUCAAUUCAAAAGUGGCCGGUACAUGUUUAUCAUGGAAGUUUCGUACAUAAUUAGUAUUAUAUUAAUAAAUAAUGUAACAACUCCUUCAUAUUCCAAUGCCUAAAAUAUUAAUUUAGCUAGAAAUUUAAAGCACACGUGGGUGAAAGUGGGUCUGCUUAUUACUUCAGGUUUUAACUAAAAGAAGACAAUGAAACGAACUAUAUAGAUAAGAAGACCAAACGAAGUCAAUGCACAAGAGAUAAAAAAUACUAUUUAUACAACUUCUUUUACAAAAAAAAAUUUAAAAAAAGGGAUGAAAAAUGUAAAAUGUAAAAUACAAUGAAUAAUAUAAUAAAUAGAGAUAAACAAACCAAUUAUAUAAAUUACUAUAUAGCUUUAUCGUAUAAAUUACAUAAAUUACUAUGCAGUUUUAGUUAUAUAUAAUGAGAAAAUAGAUUCAUUUACGAAUAACUCUUUUAAAAUUAUUUUUUUUGUUACCAUUUAUUUUUUAAAAAUUUAAUCUGGAGAUAUAAAAAAGUUAUUCAUAGAAUAAAAAAAUCAUCUCUCAUAUAUAUAUAUAUAUAUAUAUAAUACCUCUAUGGAUCAAAACAAUUAACAUAUCCAAAAAAAAUUAUGCUGUACAAACAAUACUCAUAUAUAUGUAUAGAUUUGUAGGCAAUACUUAUGUUGUGAAUUGAUUUUUUACUGUCUUUUUUGGUAUAGGGGAAACAAGUUUAAUUACUGUCUUUCAAAUUAUGAAAAAUAUUAUUAUUAUUAUUAAAACAUCCAUCCUGCCCAAAACAUUUGUGCAGGAAAACUGAAGUCUAUAAACGAUGAUGAUGUCGCGCGCAAGACAACUUGGUGUUAAAGCUUUUGGUAACCACACCUUACUUUUAAUGCGCCUUAUGCUCAGACCAGUUGAUUAAUAAACUCCCAUCACACUAAUUAAUAAUUGAUAAUACCCACAAUGGAUGGGUUGAGGUGUGGACGUGUUGUGAGUUAGAAUCCUUGGAAAAUAUUCUUUUUUACAGACCUUGGGAUAUAAGUAUUAUUAUAGAGACAUUUAUGUUUCUGCGUUUCAACGGAAAUAUAUAUUACAUGCCUAUGGACGUAAUAUUUUAUCCAAAGUAAUGACAACGGAAAUGCCGAGAAGAAUUAAUUAGAUUUAGGUUGUACACACAGCUCCUGGUCAUGCGCCAAGUCUUAAAAAAAAUAUAUCCUAUGGCAAUAAAUUAGCCAAAUAAGAAACUCAAUAUAUAACCAACAACUAUUAACACAAAUUAUAAUCACUUAUUUUACUUAAUUAAUUCUGAUUGUCCUUAAAUAUAGAAUAGAUCGGUCAGAAGAAUAAUAAAAUUUAUAAUUUUUAAUAAAUUUUAAUCAAUAAUAAAAAUAUAUUUAAAAAAUGUUACAAAAUAUGUUACUUGCACUUCAUUUGAUCAUAAAUUUGUUAUGCAUUAUAUAAGAUUAUUAAAUUUUAUAACAAUUAUUUAAAAUUCAUAUCUAAAAUAAUUUAUAAAUAGUUGUCAGUAAAAAACUCUUUAUACUGAGAAAGCAUGGAAAUUAAAUUUGUAAAAAGUAUAACACAUUAUAUAAAUUUAUAUACACAAUGUUAGUAGUAGGAUGUUAUACUGUACUAAUGUAAAUUCACAAUUAAAUUUCAUAUUAUCAAUUUAAUUUUCGUUAGAUCAAUUAUGGUAUAUCAACAAAGCUAACUCAAUAUUAAUUAAUUCUUUCUUUUAGUAGUGAUCGAUAUGCAUUGACUUGGUAAUAAAUUGAGUUGAUUAAGAAUUGCAAUUCAGACACAGUGGACUUGGAUUAUACAUAUGGGGUGUACACAUUAUCACUGCACCUUCCUUCUUCAAGUGGUACUUAACUAAACAUAAUCUUAUCUAACAAAAAUAGUUAAAUCAUCAUUUAAAAAAUACAUGACUUUGUACUAGAUAACGUGCCUAACAAGAAGUUGUCUUGUUCUUCAGUGUCAUUCUUCGUCCAUCACAAUAUUCACAAGCAUGGCUGCUAUUUGUCUCUAUAAAUAAAAGGCAAGUUAUAUGGUGAGUCUUGCAGCAGCAACACACACAAACAGAGGUGUUGAGUGAGUUCAAAUCAAUUUUAGGCAGAAAAAUGAGGUGUUUUGGUCUUGUAGUGAUAGGUCUAGUGGUUGUGCUUGGAGGGUUACCCUUCUCUUCAAAUGCAGGAUUAGAUCCCUUCUUUUACAAGAAGAGUUGUCCCCAGGUGCAUUUCAUUGUAUUUAGAGUCGUAGAGAAAGUUUCAAGAACCGAUACACGUAUGCCUGCCAGCCUCGUCAGGCUUUUCUUUCAUGACUGCUUUGUUCAAGUAUGUAAAACUUACUUGCUUAUUCAUCCUCCCUUUCUAUCUAAUUUAAGUAGUUAAUUCUUUCCACUUUAGAUGCCUAAAAACCCAUAGUUCAAAUUUAAAUAAACCCCUUGUGAACAAAAACAAAAUUGUCUCCAGCUAAGUGGAUCCAUCAGUCUCACAAAUAAGCUCAUAGCCAUGAUUACUUAGUUAGGUACUCUUUCAAUUUAAAACAUUUAUUGAAUUAUAUUUGAGUUUGAUUUUCAUGUAUUGUUGGCAUAAAUUUGUUUAUAUAAUUGACCAACAAAAUUUUAGGUAUGACUUUUAACUUAGUUAUUAUUAAAUUAAUAAAUUUAUUAUACCUUAUUAUUUAUAAUUGAAUAUCAGUGUAAGAAAUUGUAAUGCAUGUAAGCAAAGGGGUUAGAGAAAUUCUCUAAUACACUCUCAGAUUUAAAGGUUUGGUACUCUUAUAUAUUCAGAAUCUUUCUUUCUCUCUCUUGGCGUGUCAAAACUCAUUCAACUAUUAGGUUAAAAAACAGUUGUAGCAAAAACCUUAAAUUUCUCCUUAUACCAUAGCAACUCUCUAUAAAUUAAAUUAAAUUAAUUAUACAACUAAAUAAUGCAUGAGAUCAUAAAGGAAGGGAACACCUUGUUAGUCUCAUCUCAAAGUAAGCGGUUUGGAUUUUGGAAUGUCGAAAAUUUCUAGUGGAAACUAAACAAAAGUUCAAGAAAAGAAAUUGAUUCUUAAUUACUUCGUCAGAUGUAGUUGUUGAGAAUGAACAAGAAAUAUGAAUUGAUUUAUGUUGUUGAUGUUAAUUUGUGGCAUGCAGGGCUGUGACGCAUCAAUUUUGUUGAACAACACAGCCACCAUAGUGAGUGAGCAACAAGCUCUGCCAAACAACAACUCAAUAAGAGGUUUGGAUGUUGUAAACGAAAUCAAGACAGAGUUGGAACAAGUUUGCCCUGGUGUAGUUUCUUGCGCUGAUAUUCUUACCCUUGCAGCUGAAGUAUCUUCUGUUCUGGUAUGCCUCAUCUUAUAUAACAUGAAGUCUCAUUUUAGGUUAAAGAAAAAACUUAGAUCAAGUUCUUUUGUUAAAUCCUUUUUUAUCAAGUUUGUCCAAUCAAAUAAUAACAUAUAGAUGUUUAUUUAUUGCAACAUAUGCUUAAUAGAGGUUGUUUAUUUAUUAGAAAGAAUAUUCAUGUAUCAUUUGACAGGCUCAUGGUCCUUUUUUGAAAUUCCCCUUGGGAAGGAGAGAUAGUUUAACAGCAAACCGAACCCUUGCCAAUGAAAACCUUCCUGCUCCUUUCUUCAACCUCACUCAACUUAAAGCUGCCUUUGCUGUUCAAGGUCUCGACACUACUGAUCUUGUUGCACUCUCAGGUAAGAAAUGUUCCCCAAUUCAAAUUAUCCUAUGUGUUUCAACAAUGCUACCUAUAAUAGCAAUAAUAAAACGUGAUUUGGAAGGAAAACCCAUAAUUUCUUGACACAGAUCAAUCAUGCUAAAAAUCGAUAAAUAUUUCACACGAAUAUCAUAAAAACCCAAAAUAAUGAUAAUAAUAAAUGGAAAGAUGAAAUCUUGAAAUUCAGGGUAAGAUAUUGGAUUUACUAGUGAACACAUUAAAUUUACUCUAAAUUCACCAUCUUGACUUGGUUUGACUUUGGAAGAAUUUAUCUUAUAAAAAAUAAACACAUGAGGGAUUUGUAUAUGAUUCAAUUUCAGGUGCUCAUUCAUUUGGUAGAGCUCACUGCUUUUUCAUUCUAGACCGAUUGUACAAUUUCAGUGGUACUGGCAGACCCGAUCCAACUCUUGACACAACUUACUUGCAACAAUUGCGCCAAAUAUGCCCCCAAGGUGGACCUAACAACCUUUUGAAUUUUGACCCAACCACUCCUGAUACAUUGGACAAGAACUACUACUCCAAUCUUAAGGUUAAGAAGGGUUUGCUUCAGAGUG
rnacentral:lncRNA from 1 species